rnacentral:rRNA from 1 species
AGCGAACGCUGGCGGCAGGCCUAACACAUGCAAGUCGAACGAACUCUUCGGAGUUAGUGGCGGACGGGUGAGUAACACGUGGGAACGUGCCUUUUGGUUCGGAAUAACUCAGGGAAACUUGUGCUAAUACCGAAUGUGCCCUUCGGGGGAAAGAUUUAUCGCCAUUAGAGCGGCCCGCGUCUGAUUAGCUAGUUGGUGAGGUAACGGCUCACCAAGGCGACGAUCAGUAGCUGGUCUGAGAGGAUGACCAGCCACACUGGGACUGAGACACGGCCCAGACUCCUACGGGAAGCAGCAGCGGGGAAUCUUGCGCAAUGGGCGAAAGCCUGACGCAGCCAUGCCGCGUGAAUGAUGAAGGUCUUAGGAUUGUAAAAUUCUUUCACCGGGGACGAUAAUGACGGUACCCGGAGAAGAAGCCCCGGCUAACUUCGUG